rnacentral:rRNA from 1 species
CGAGCGCUCUCUUCGGAGGGAGCGGCGGACGGGUUAGUAACGCGUGGGAACGUACCCUUUUCUACGGAAUAGCCUCGGGAAACUGAGAGUAAUACCGUAUACGCCCUUCGGGGGAAAGAUUUAUCGGAGAAGGAUCGGCCCGCGUUGGAUUAGGUAGUUGGUGGGGUAACGGCCUACCAAGCCUACGAUCCAUAGCUGGUUUGAGAGGAUGAUCAGCAACACUGGGACUGAGACACGGCCCAG